rnacentral:rRNA from 1 species
UGGGGAAUAUUGGACAAUGGGCGCAAGCCUGAUACAGCCAUGCCGCGUGAGUGAUGAAGGCCCUAGGGUUGUAAAGCUCUUUCACCGGUGAAGAUAAUGACGGUAACCGGAGAAGAAGCCCCGGCUAACUUCGUGCCAGCAGCCGCGGUAAUACGAAGGGGGCUAGCGUUGUUCGGAUUUACUGGGCGUAAAGCGCACGUAGGCGGACUUUUAAGUCAGGGGUGAAAUCCCGGGGCUCAACCCCGGAACUGCCUUUGAUACUGGAAGUCUUGAGUAUGGUAGAGGUGAGUGGAAUUCCGAGUGUAGAGGUGAAAUUCGUAGAUAUUCGGAGGAACACCAGUGGCGAAGGCGGCUCACUGGACCAUUACUGACGCUGAGGUGCGAAAGCGUGGGGAGCAAACAGG